UCCACGUUAGCUCAAUUGGAAGAGCAUUUUCAUGCCAAGAAAAAUAUAUAGGUUCAAAUCCUAUGCGUGGAC